UGGGGAAUUUUGGACAAUGGGGGAAACCCUGAUCCAGCCAUCCCGCGUGUGCGAUGAAGGCCUUCGGGUUGUAAAGCACUUUUGGCAGGAAAGAAACGUCGCGGGUUAAUACCCCGCGGAACUGACGGUACCUGCAGAAUAAGCACCGGCUAACUACGUGCCAGCAGCCGCGGUAAUACGUAGGGUGCAAGCGUUAAUCGGAAUUACUGGGCGUAAAGCGUGCGCAGGCGGUUCGGAAAGAAAGAUGUGAAAUCCCAGAGCUUAACUUUGGGAACUGCAUUUUUAACUACCGGGCUAGAGUGUGUCAGAGGGAGGUGGAAUUCCGCGUGUAGCAGUGAAAUGCGUAGAUAUGCGGAGGAACACCGAUGGCGAAGGCAGCCUCCUGGGAUAACACUGACGCUCAUGCACGAAAGCGUGGGGAGCAAACAGGAUUAGAUACCCUGGUAGUCCACGCCCUAAACGAUGUCAACUAGCUGUUGGGGUCUUCGGACCUUGGUAGCGCAGCUAACGCGUGAAGUUGACCGCCUGGGGAGUACGGUCGCAAGAUUAAAAACUCAAAUGAAUUGACGGGGUCAUAGCUGUUUCCU
rnacentral:rRNA from 1 species